GCAUCGCCAAGUCGGUCAAGGCAACGGAUUUUGAUUCCGUCAUUCGCAGGUUCGAAUCCUGCUGCCC
rnacentral:tRNA from 1 species